GAUUGAAGGCUGAAAUUACGCCUUCAUGAAGCUGGAAUUGCUAGUAAUGGCAGGUCAGCAUACUGCCGUGAAUACGUUCCCGGGCCUUGUACACACCGCCCGUCACACCAUGGGAGUCGGAUAUGCCCGAAGCCAGUGACCCAACCGUAAGGAGGGAGCUGUCGAAGGUGGAGCCGAUAACUGGGGUGAAGUCGUAACAAGGUAUC
rnacentral:rRNA from 1 species